GAUGAACGCUGGCGGUAUGCUUAACACAUGCCAGUCGAACGGACUCUUCGGAGUUAGUGGCGGUCGGGUGAGUAACGCGUGAUAAUCUGGCCUUGGGUUCGGGACAACCACUGGAAACGGUGGCUAAUACCGGAUGUGCCGAGAGGUGAUAGAGAAAGUGCCUGAAGAUGAGCUCGCGUCUGAUUAGCUAGUUGGUGAGGUAAAGGCUCACCAAGGCAGCGAUCAGUAGCUGGUCUGAGAGUAUGACCAGCCACACGGGGCCUGAGACACGGCCGAGACCCCUGCGAGAGGCAGGAGUGGGGAAUUGUCCGCAAGGGGCGAAAGCCUGGCAGAGAAAUACCGCGUGAGGUAAGAAGGCUCUUGUGUUGUAAAGCUCUUUCCUUAGGGAAGAACAAAAUGACGGUACCUAAUGAAUAAGCACCGGCUAACUCCGUG
rnacentral:rRNA from 1 species